CCGGAAUCCACCGCCGUCGCUGCCGGGAGACGCGACGCCGCUGCUGUCAACAGCGUCCGUCGGUCAGUCUCCGCCACCCGUUGCCCCGAUUUACCCCAAAACAGACCCGACGCCUCCGAUACCAACCUGAUUCGCCCCGCAAUUACCUCCGUGGAUGAGAAAUCAAAAUCAGCAAGGAUUUGAAAAGAGUGGUUCUUGAAUCUUUGUCUCGGUCCUAUUCAAAAAUUUCAAUGAGUUUGACGAGUUGGUUCAGAAAGCAAAAACGUGUAACAGAGAUGGAGUUUGCAAGAUUACCUUGAGUAGGAAUUUGAAGAGAAAUCCUUGUUUUGCUGCAGAGAUGGGAGGAAUGAAUGGUGCAACAACUAUUAUAGAGGAGCAGAAAUUUUAAAGGAAGAAGAUUUGGUUGAGAGAUCACGGAGGAGGAAUAUAUUUUCACGGAGGAGGAUAAUCUUUACAGAAUCUUUAAUUAAAAAUUAAUUAAAGCCGAUUGAUGACCAAAUAAAUCGGGAAGAUUAAUUAAAUUGGUUUACUCAUGGUCCUUUGUAUCUUAUUUUAAAUUAUGCAGUCCACAAUUUAUUUA